GACGAACGCUGGCGGUAUGCUUAACACAUGCAAGUCGAACGAGAAGCUUUUUAAUGAUCCUUCGGGUGAACUAAGAAGUGGAAAGUGGCGAACGGGUGAGUAACGCGUGGGUAACCUGCCUCAUGGAAAGGAAUAGCCUCGGGAAACUGGGAGUAAAGCCUUAUAUUAUUGAGUUGUCGCAUGGCAAUUCGAUGAAAACUCCGGUGCCAUGAGAUGGACCCGCGUCCCAUUAGCUAGUUGGUGAGAUAACAGCCCACCAAGGCAACGAUGGGUAACCGGUCUGAGAGGGCGAACGGUCACACUGGAACUGAGACACGGUACAGACUCCUACGGGAGGCAGCAGUGGGGAAUAUUGCGCAAUGGGGGAAACCCUGACGCAGCAAUACCGCGUGAGUGAAGAAGGUUUUCGGAUCGUAAAACUCUUUUAUUGGGGAAGAAGAAGUGACGGUAACCAAUGAAGAAGUCCCGGCUAACUACGUGCCAGCAGCCGCAGUAA
rnacentral:rRNA from 1 species